rnacentral:rRNA from 1 species
CCUACGGGUGGCAGCAGUGGGGAAUAUUGCACAAUGGGCGCAAGCCUGAUGCAGCCAUGCCGCGUGUGUGAAGAAGGCCUUCGGGUUGUAAAGCACUUUCAGCGGGGAGGAAGGCGGUGAGGUUAAUAACCUCAUCGAUUGACGUUACCCGCAGAAGAAGCACCGGCUAACUCCGUGCCAGCAGCCGCGGUAAUACGGAGGGUGCAAGCGUUAAUCGGAAUUACUGGGCGUAAAGCGCACGCAGGCGGUCUGUCAAGUCGGAUGUGAAAUCUCCGGGCUCAACCUGGGAACUGCAUUCGAAACUGGCAGGCUAGAGUCUUGUAGAGGGGGGUAGAAUUCCAGGUGUAGCGGUGAAAUGCGUAGAGAUCUGGAGGAAUACCGGUGGCGAAGGCGGCCCCCUGGACAAAGACUGACGCUCAGGUGCGAAAGCGUGGGGAGCAAACAGGAUUAGAUACCCCUGUAGUC